CAGGGAAUAUUAGUAAUGGGCGAAAGCCUGAACUAGCAACGCCGCGUGUGCGAAGAAGGCCUUCGGGUUGUAAAGCACUUUUUGAGAGGAUGAGGAAGGACGGUACUCUCAGAAUAAGUCUCGGCUAACUACGUGCCAGCAGCCGCGGUAACACGUAGGAGGCAAACGUUAUCCGGAUUUACUUUGCUUAAAGCUCGUUUAGGUGGUUUGGUAAGUAUGGCGUGAAAGAUCAUGGAUCAAAUGGGAGAGGACGUUAUAAACUGCAAAGAUUGAGGAUGGUAGAGGGAGGUGGAAUUCAGGGUGUAGCGGUGGAAUGCGAAGAUAUCAGGAGGAACACCAGUGGCGAAGGCGGCCUCCUGGACCACUCCUGACACUCAGACGCGAAAGCUAGGGUAGCAAACGG
rnacentral:rRNA from 1 species